UCCGGCUUGUCGCCGGCGGUCCCUUUAGAGUGCCCAACUGAAUGAUGGCAACUAAAGGAGAGGGUUGCGCUCGUUGCGGGACUUAACCCAACAUCUCACGACACGAGCUGACGACAGCCAUGCACCACCUGUACACCGACCUUGCGGGGGCUACAUCUCUGCAGCUUUCCGGUGUAUGUCAAACCCAGGUAAGGUUCUUCGCGUUGCAUCGAAUUAAUCCGCAUGCUCCGCCGCUUGUGCGGGCCCCCGCCAAUUCCUUUGAGUUUUAGCCUUGCGGCCGUACUCCCCAGGCGGGGCACUUAAUGCGUUAGCUGCGGCACGGGAGGAGUCGACACCUCCCACACCUAGUGCCCAUCGUUUACGGCGUGGACUAC
rnacentral:misc_RNA from 1 species